AUGGCCCUGCCUAGGAUCAAGGUGGCUGUGCCCGUGGCUUUAGUUGCUGCUACUUCUGCGACAUCCAUGGACAUCGAUGAGGAGCGUGGUGAUGCGGAAACCGCGGAUGCGGCCACCUCUCGGGCAGCACCAACAGAUAUUAUCCAGCUUCCUGACGAUGAUGAUGAUGAUGUGUCUUUGAAAAAUGCCGGGAGGAGAGGCAAAACUUUGAGCAAGAGGGUGCCUGGAGCUAGAACGCCUCGCUCGGCAUCUGAUCCUGUGGUCCAACAACUCAACGAUCUAGUACGGGCUUCAGUCUCUUUUGCCAAUCCUGUGUCGACUGACCAACCCUCAGUGUCGACUGCUCAAGCUCCAGAUUCAAUUGCGCAACUUCAGGCUUCUACUACACCGGCCACGUCACCUAUUCCAUCAUCUCUUCUAUUUGCUCCACAUCACGUCCCGGAGGACCAAGUAGGGGCUGCCAAGCAGGCCAUGAUUCAGGCAAGUCUGAUGAUGGACCGACUGAAGGUGGUGUGUGACACCAGCAAGGCCGCCUAUGAUGCCAACUCUGCUCUCCAAGCCAAUGUCCGAGUAAGUGGGAUUAAAUCUUAUGAGCUUGGGACUCAAUAUGCUGCUUUGUCACAGGAGAAAAUCCAACUUAAGCUCGACCUAGAUCUGGCCAAGGAGAACUUGAAGAAAGCACAAGAUGAAGUGGCAAGAGACAAAAUGAAGCAGGCUAUGGAGCAGAAGGACCUUGAUCUUGUGGCGGCGCAGAAGACGACGCGUGAUUAG
rnacentral:rRNA from 1 species